GUGAGUAACACGUAGGUUAUCUACCGCAGUCCCGGGGAUACCCCUGCGAAAGUAGGGUUAAUACCUGAUAGUCUCCCUCUUUAAGAGGGAGUAAAGGAAUUUACCGGUCUGCGAGGAGCCUGCGUCCUAUCAGCUAGUUGGUGGGGUAAUAGCCUACCAAGGCGAUGACGGGUAGCUGGUCUGAGAGGACGGCCAGCCACACUGGGACUGAGACACGGCCCAGACUCCUACGGGAGGCAGCAGUGGGGAAUCUUCCGCAAUGGGCGAAAGCCUGACGGAGCGACACCGCGUGGGGGACGAAGGUCUUCGGAUCGUAAACCCCUUUAAGGAGGGAAGAGCAAGGACGGUACCUCCUCAACAAGCCACGGCUAACUGCGUGCCAGCAGCCGCGGUAAUACGUGGGUGGCGAGCGUUAUCCGGAUUUACUGGGCGUAAAGGGCCUGCAGGUGGUUCCUAAAGUCCCUGGUAUAAUCUUAAGGCCUAACCUUAAGAAGACUGGGGAUACUCAGGAGCUAGAGGAAAGGAGAGGGAAGUGGAAUUCCUGGUGGAGCGGUGAAAUGCGUAGAUAUCAGGAGGAACACCCAAGGCGAAGGCAGCUUCCUGGCCCUUUCCUGACACUCAGAGGCGAAAGCUGGGGGAGCAAACGGGAUUAGAUACCCC
rnacentral:rRNA from 1 species